AACGCUAGCUACAGGCUUAACACAUGCAAGUCGAGGGGCAGCAUGGUCUUAGCUUGCUAAGGCCGAUGGCGACCGGCGCACGGGUGAGUAACACGUAUCCAACCUGCCGUCUACUCUUGGACAGCCUUCUGAAAGGAAGAUUAAUACAAGAUGGCAUCAUGAGUCCGCAUGUUCACAUGAUUAAAGGUAUUCCGGUAGACGAUGGGGAUGCGUUCCAUUAGAUAGUAGGCGGGGUAACGGCCCACCUAGUCUUCGAUGGAUAGGGGUUCUGAGAGGAAGGUCCCCCACAUUGGAACUGAGACACGGUCCAAACUCCUACGGGAGGCAGCAGUGAGGAAUAUUGGUCAAUGGGCGCAGGCCUGAACCAGCCAAGUAGCGUGAAGGAUGACUGCCCUAUGGGUUGUAAACUUCUUUUAUAAAGGAAUAAAGUCGGGUAUGUAUACCCGUUUGCAUGUACUUUAUGAAUAAGGAUCGGCUAACUCCGUGCCAGCAGCCGCGGUAAUACGGAGGAUCCGAGCGUUAUCCGGAUUUAUUGGGUUUAAAGGGAGCGUAGAUGGAUGUUUAAGUCAGUUGUGAAAGUUUGCGGCUCAACCGUAAAAUUGCAGUUGAUACUGGAUAUCUUGAGUGCAGUUGAGGCAGGCGGAAUUCGUGGUGUAGCGGUGAAAUGCUUAGAUAUCACGAAGAACUCCGAUUG
rnacentral:rRNA from 2 species